GGAUAUGAGAGUAAUCUGACAGUUGAUUGCCUGAUUGAUUCUGCUGAUCUAAUUAGCUAUGUGGGUGUCCCCUUCUCUCAGCACUCCAGAUGUAUCCCUCCCAGAUCUCAGUACUUGGUCAGUGAGGAUGGCCUUCUUAAAAUAGCACAGACUGUCCUUUGGCUGAGAGCGUGCUUGUGGCUGUGUUCUGCUGGAAUUUCCAAACAGGCUCUCCAAAGCAAUUCGGUGAUAUUUCAAACCUGUCAGGAACCAAUUUUGAGAGACAUAUUAUGCUAUUUUUCUAU
rnacentral:snRNA from 1 species